rnacentral:tRNA from 1 species
CGGCUUAUGGCUUAGAUGGUAAAGAAUCUGCCUGUAAUGCAGGAGACCUGGGUUCAAUCCCUGGGUUGG